CAAUGUGAGGGCAAUCUGGCUGCGACAUCUGUCACCCCAUUGAUCGCCGGGGUUGAUUCGGCUGAUCUGGCUGGCUAGGCAGGUGUCCCAUCCCUCCCUCAGCGCUUCAUGUGUGUCCCUCCUGAAGCUGCAUGCUCGAUGGAAGAGGAUGGCUUCCCAGGUAUAGAAGGAGUAUACUUUCCUUCACGUCAUCAGUCCUGCCAGCAUAAGAGUUUAACCCAUUGCACUAGCGAGGGCUCCUUAUGAGUUCAAUGAAAAAGCAACAUUUGCAUGAGAGACUGCCAUACUCAGAUCUUCGAAAUGC
rnacentral:snRNA from 11 species